AAUCUUUGCUGGAACCUGAACUGAGAUUCAAAAUCCUGCCACUUUACUAACAAUGUGACUUCAGGAAAUUUAUUUAAUCCCUGCUGAAAUACCAACAGAGAAUCAUAUCAACCUUGUAAAAAGCUAUUGGACCAAGCUCUUCUGCCACGAAAAACAAAGAAGAUGAUUAAUUUUAUUUGCUUUACUGUUUGCAUUUCCCUAAGACACAAUGAACUGAUUAAAAUACUUUUGUACUCA